GCAGCCAUGCAUUGGGCGGUGCCCGGCAGAGCCACUUCAGGGAACCAUGCUGAAGGGAUAGGCAUUUCCACCAUUCUUUGUUGGUCUCCUGUAGCCGCUUUGUCGCGAACUGCGUGAGGAAGACCCGGCCGGGUCCUCGGGACCUGAAACCUCCCGGAGCCGCAGUCUCCGCGCGGGCGGCCUGGGAAAGUCACAGUCACAGCGCAGUGGCGGGAACCGCAGCCCGGCGGCCCUGGAACCUCCCAGGUGUUUUCUUCUUUCGUUUUUGUUCCAUGAAAAGUUCCAAGUACAUUCUGAAGAAUCCCUUUCCCUUACAUAAGUGUCACAUUGCUCAGUGCGUUCUCCUCACCUGAGAAUCAGAACAAAGAACCCUGCAUGGUGAAGAGAGAGGAGACAGUAGCAAAGGAUCCAGAAACUCAGAGAAGAGCAACAAGAAGAAUGAAUGCUUCUGUGGUUAAUGCUCCCCAGAUGUACUUGCCAUGUCUACUACUGGCACAGCAUGAUUUUAAUGUGGAGGCUGAAGCAGGAGGACAUGGUGAGUGCCCUGCCAACCUGGGUUAUAUUGUGAGUUCCUAGGUGACCAUAGCUGUACUGUUGUGCUGUGUCUCAAAAACAUAAGAAAUGUUCUUUAUAUGAUCCUUCACAGAGCUUCUUUCUGGAAGUUCUUUACUGCUCAAACCUAUUUGUCUUACCAGCUGCAAUUUACAGCAUUUAGAUAAGAAUGAGAAGGCUGCAUGGCUCUGACCUAAGUCUUCUACAUAUGUAUGACAGUUGUUUAGUUUGGCUGUUUGUGAGACUCCUAGAAUACCAUCAGGGCCUUUCCCUGAUUCCUUGGCUUCAUAUUGGGAACUGUCCUCAGAGUGGGCUGCUUCACCCAGACUUAACACAAAGGGAGGAGCUUAGUCCUACCUAAACUUGAUUUCCAUGCUCUGUUGACACCCAUGGGAGGCCUGUCCCUUUCAGACCAGAA